AUUGAACGCUGGCGGCAGGCCUAACACAUGCAAGUCGAGCGAGCGGCGGACGGGUGAGUAAUGUAUGGGGACUGCCCGAUAGAGGGGGAUAACUACUGGAAACGGUAGCUAAUACCGCAUACUAUCGGAUCACCCAUAUGGGAUUAGCUAGUAGGUGAGGUAAUGGAUCACCUAGGCGACGAUCCCUAGCUGGUCUGAGAGGAUGAUCAGCCACCCUGGGACUUAUACACGGCACAGACGCCUACGGAGGCAGCAGUGGGAAAUAGUGCACAAUUGGCGCAGUCCUGAUGCGGCCAUGCCGCGUGUAUGAAGAAGGCCCUAGGGUUGUAAAGUACUUACAGUCGGGAGGCGUUACCGACAGGAGAAGCACCGGCUAAGUCCGUACGAGCAGGCGCGGUAAUUC
rnacentral:rRNA from 1 species